rnacentral:rRNA from 1 species
UACAGAGGUCUCAAGCGUUGUUCGGAUUCAUUGGGCGUAAAGGGUGUGUAGGUGGCGCCGUAAGUCAGGUGUGAAAUCUCGGGGCUUAACUCCGAAACUGCAUUCGAUACUGCGGUGCUUGAGGACUGGAGAGGAGACUGGAAUUCAUGGUGUAGCAGUGAAAUGCGUAGAGAUCAUGAGGAAGACCAGUGGCGAAGGCGGGUCUCUGGACAGUUCCUGACACUGAGACACGAAGGCCAGGGGAGCAAACGGG